rnacentral:rRNA from 1 species
CAGUUCGGAUUGAAGUCUGCAACCCGACCUUCAUGAAGCUGGAUUCGCUAGUAAUCGCGCAUCAGCCACGGCGCGGUGAAUACGUUCCCGGGCCUUGUACACACCGCCCGUCAAGCCAUGGGAGGCCGGGGGUACCUGAAGUGCGUAACCGCAAGGAGCGCCCUAGGGUAAAACUGGUGACUGGGGCUAAGUCGUAACAAGGUAAC